rnacentral:rRNA from 1 species
ACACGACUACAUUAGAUACCCCUGUAGUCCUAGCCGUAAACGAUACUCGCUAGGUGUCGGCCACGGUGCGACCGUUGUCGGUGCCGUAGGGAAGCCGUGAGCGAGCCACCUGGGAAGUACGGCCGCAAGGCUGAAACUUAAAGGAAUUGGCGGGGGAGCACAACAACGGGUGGAGCUUGCGGUUUAAUUGGAUUCAACGCCGGAAAUCUUACCGGGACCGACAGCAACAUGAAGGCCAAGCUGAAGACUUUGCCGGAUUAGCUG